AAGUCGUAACAAGGUUUCCGUAGGUGAACCUGCGGAAGGAUCAUUAUCGUACAAUGGAGGUGCUGGGGUUGUCGCUGACUUUUCAAAGGGUCGUGCACACCUCGGUGCUCUCGUACAAAAUCCAAUUCACCCCUUUGUGCAUCACCGCGUGGGGGCCCCUUUUGGUUAGUUCUGAGGGGGGCGUUCACGUUUUUAUACAAACACCCUUUUAAUGCAAUAUGUAGAAUGUCUUACUUUUUUGCGAUCACACGCAAUUAAUACAACUUUCAACAACGGAUCUCUUGGCUCUC
rnacentral:misc_RNA from 1 species